GAUGAACGCUGGCGGCGUGCUUAACACAUGCAAGUCGAACGAUGAAGCCCAGCUUGCUGGGUGGAUUAGUGGCGAACGGGUGAGUAACACGUGAGUAACCUGCCCUUGACUCUGGGAUAAGCCUGGGAAACUGGUUCUAAUACUGGAUAUGACUUCUCAUCGCAUGGUGGGGGGUGGAAAGAUUUAUUGGUCUUGGAUGGACUCGCGGCCUAUCAGCUUGUUGGUGAGGUAAUGGCUCACCAAGGCGACGACGGGUAGCCGGCCUGAGAGGGUGACCGGCCAAACUGGGACUGAGACACGGCCCAGACUCCUACGGGAGGCAGCAGUGGGGAAUAGUGCACAAUGGGAGCAAGCCUGAUGCAGCGACGCCGCGUGAGGGAUGACGGCAUUCGGGUUGUAAACCUCUUUCAGUAGGGAAGAAGCGAGAGUGACGGUACCUGCAGAAGAAGCGCCGGCUAACUACGUG
rnacentral:rRNA from 1 species